rnacentral:lncRNA from 1 species
AGAGAGUAAGAGUGUAAAUCGAUUUUUAGGUGCAUUAAGAGCUUCAAAUUGGUUGUUCAUGGUGGUUGGUGUAUUCAUGGGAAUGACAAUAUUGUGAAUACUUGAGGAAGAUGAGGGCGAUAGAGUAAAAUAAGCAUUUUCAAAAAAGAAAAAAAAUGAUGGUAUUUUCGUGAAUAACCUGGACUCUGGGGGUGAAAGAGGCAAGUCAAAGUUCCAAAAAAAAAACAUGAGUAAGUUUUAUGUUUGACUUUAAGUUUUGAGUCAUAUUUGCAAAAAGCUCUUUUAUUAUAUGGUUAGUAUGAUUUUUUAAUAUAUUUUAAUAAUACAACAUUAAACAAAAAUAAUGGAGGAUAAGUAAAUUUUUUAUCAAACCUUUAUUAUUAAAAUCAUUAAUUGUCAAAUAUAUGUUUUAUUCACUUUUAGUAAUUCCGUAACUUUUAUUUAAGGAAAGAAUGAAAAAUAUUAAUUGUAGAUUUUUAAUUAAAUUUAUGGUUAGUUUAAUGAGAAGUAUAUAAUAUAUGUUUAGUGGACCAACAUAUAUCUCUAAAGACUUUGUGAAACAUUU